rnacentral:lncRNA from 1 species
CCACAUCUCCCAUCAUUCCUUGCACAUCCCACUUCCGCCAUCUUUCCUCCCCUAUGGGCGCCGCCAUAUUUGUUUCCUCCAAAAUGGCGCCUCCCGUCGCUUCCUGCGCGCUGUGACGUCAUUUCCUCCCUAACAAUUUCCUCCCAAAUCUAAAAUGGCGGCUCCGGUUCGGGUCCGGGUCCCUCCCGGAGCUCCCCCGGAGCCGCUCCCGGUUCAGCUCCUGCCCUGCCGCAUCCAGCACGACGGGCCCGCGCCCGUGGCCGCGUUCCUGCGGGCCCGGCCCGGCCCCGACGGCGAUCUGUGGGCCUCGUUCCGGGGGCGCCGUUUGGGGGGUCGGGAGCUGCCGCUGCCCCCCGGAUACACGGGGGCCGUGCUGAGGGGGGGGGAGCCCGGAGAGACCCCGCUGGGGGACCCCCAGGUCAGGUCGGUGACGGUGACGGGGACGUUCGGGGCCAUCACGGACUGGGGGGGUGACACCGUGCCCCCCCCGGGGCGGGGCCUGGCCCGGGCCC